AUUUGGAGUCGAAUAGGACUUGAUGUCAUGUGUAUGAUUGAGUAUAACAACUUAAACAGCAACCUGAUCUUAAAAGCCUAAGUAGUGUUUCCUUGUUAGAAGACACAAAGCCAAAGACUCAUAUGGACUUUGCCUACACCAUGAAAGCUUUAAAAAGAAAGAAGAAUGUUGGUUAGCGUUUUGGAGUCGAAUAUGACUUGAUGUCAUGUGUAUGAUUGAGUAUAAGAACUUAAACCGCAUCCCGAUCUUAAAAGCCUAAGUAGUGUUUCCUUGUUAGAAGAUACAAAGCCAAAGACUCGGACUUUGACUACACCAUGAAAGCUUUGAGAAGCAAGAAGAAGGUUGGUUAGUGUUUUGGAGUCGAAUAUGACUUGAUGUCGUGUGUAUGAUUGAGUAUAAGAACUUAAACCGCAACUGGAUCUUAAAGGCGUAAGAAUUGUAUCCUUGUUAGAAGACACAAAGCCAAAGACUUAUAUGGACUUUGGCUACACCAUGAAAGCUUUGAGAAGCAAGAAGAAGGUUGGUUAGUGUUUUGGAGUCAAAUAUGACUUGUUGUCAUGUGUAAGAUU
rnacentral:sRNA from 1 species